rnacentral:rRNA from 1 species
GAUAAACGCUGGCGGCGUGCAUAACACAUGCAAGUCGAACGAAGUGGCGAACGGGUGAGUAACACGUGAGUAACCUGCCUUACACAAGGGGAUAGCCUUUGGAAACGAAGAAUAAUACCCUAUGGUGUAAGAUGGAAUUGCGUGUGAUUAGCUAGUUUGUGAGAUAAAAGCCAACCAAGGCGACGAUCAGUAGCCGGCUUGAGUGAGUGUACGGUCACGUUGAGACUGUGACACGGCCCAAAAUCUACGGGAGGCAGCAGUGGGGAAUUUUGCACAAUGGGGGAAACGCUGAGGGAGCGACGCCGCGUGAUUUAGAAGGCCUUCGGGUUGUAAAAAUCUUUUUGAUGAGAUGCAGUACGAUAAGAAUAAGGUCCGGCUAAAUACGUGCCAGCCGCCGCGGUAAUUC